GUCAUCCAAGUAUGGGCUCCUCCUAACUGGUGUGAGCUGAGCUCUGCCUAUGAUAAUGGUCGAGUUGGAGCUCACACCAGUGGAGGACUCCAUACAAACUGGAAUGGAGGGGCCUUCCUUUUAUUCUAACCUCAUUUUCAAGCUUAUCAUGAUGAAAGAGUGAGUGCAAAGGAGACUGGCCUUGUAAUUACAGAUUGGAAUGGCCUUGUAUUGGUGAUGUUGUAUUGUACUUUUAUUAACUGUGAAUAUGAUAGGAUUAAAGAGUUGCAGGAUUUUUACAGAGCAGCCUUGUUCAGCAACAGGAUGACAUUCAACAAAGCUAGCCGCUGGGCCUGGCAAACAAAAUAAUGAAGAAGAAAUAUGUAAAUAUGGGCUGGAUAAUUUGCUGUAAAACUUUGUUCAAGCAGAUUGUUAGAUCUUUCUUAGCACGUUGCUUAAAAGACAGCCCUGUCUAGUGUUUGUCUGCUAUAGAUGGCGAUAGGAUUUUGACAGAGCAGCCUUGUUCAGUAGGGGAAGGAGACUCUUAGAUAUUUUAUAGAUUUUCUUACAAUUUUUUGUAUCUUUUUUAUAAAUUUUGUAUAUAAAUAUUUUUUCCAUUAAUUGUUGGUUUGUUUAUUUACAUUUCAUUUAACAUGUAACCAAAGUUUUUUAUUUCUAAAUAAAAGCUAUGAGCUUAUAUUUGUAUUGGAGAAUAAACCAGUUACAAUUGUGUAUAAUAUUUUCACGAGUAAAAGUAUGAUUUAAUCAUAGAUUUACAGCCUAUAGGAAUAACAAUGAUAAUUAUAGAUAUUUGAACAAAAAUAGGUUGAAACCCAGAGAUAAAUUCUAAUAUAAGCAUGUGAAUCCAGUUAUAGAGAUUCCAAAAUCUAGACUGGAGUAUUGAUACUCAAAUGAACCCUGAACACCUGAGACACCAUCCUCAAUUUCCAUUGUGGCUAUACGUUGACAAGGAUAAGGCAAAUGAACUUUGUGGUUGAGGAAGAGAAUGAAUACAUCUGUCAAAGAAUGCAUCACCCACAUCUGUUUUGUAAGCCUUUAACAGCACCCUCUCAUCUUGAUUGAAGAGGGCUCUUUUCAGGGCAAUCCGUUAUUGCACUGUGAAAAGUCAUACCUGGAAUGAGGGAGUCUUUGACAUAGUUAGCUACCAACUAACAUAUAAGGUCCGUGGUGUUCCAGGAUGCAUGCAAAUUACAUGACAAAAUAUCUAAAGAUAUUAGUUUUAAUGAUAUUGAUGAUUUUGUCAA